GAUGAACGCUGGCGGCGUGCCUAAUACAUGCAAGUCGAGCGAACAGACGAGGAGCUUGCUCCUCUGACGUUAGCGGCGGACGGGUGAGUAACACGUGGAUAACCUACCUAUAAGACUGGGAUAACUUCGGGAAACCGGAGCUAAUACCGGAUAAUAUAUUGAACCGCAUGGUUCAAUAGUGAAAGACGGUUUUGCUGUCACUUAUAGAUGGAUCCGCGCCGCAUUAGCUAGUUGGUAAGGUAACGGCUUACCAAGGCAACGAUGCGUAGCCGACCUGAGAGGGUGAUCGGCCACACUGGAACUGAGACACGGUCCAGACUCCGACGGGAGGCAGCAGUAGGGAAUCUUCCGCAAUGGGCGAAAGCUUGACGGAGCAACGCCGCGUGAGUGAUGAAGGUCUGCGGAUCGUAAAACUCUGUUAUUAGGGAAGAACAAAUGUGUAAGUAACGAUGCACGUCUUGACGGUACCUAAUCAGAAAGCCACGGCUAACUACGU
rnacentral:rRNA from 1 species